AAUCAACGCUGGCGGCGUGCCUAACACAUGCAAGUCGAACGCGAAAGCCCGCAAGGGUAAGUAGAGUGGCGCACGGGUGAGUAACACGUGGACAACCUGCCUUCGAGUGGGGAAUAACCUUCCGAAAGGAGGGCUAAUACCGCAUAACACCUCGGGACACAAGUUCUGGGGUUGAAAAGAGCAAUUUGCUCGAAGAGGGGUCCGCGCCUGAUUAGCUAGUUGGUGAGGUAACGGCUCACCAAGGCUUCGAUCAGUAGCCGUCCUGAGAGGGAGCACGGCCACACUGGAACUGAGACACGGUCCAGACUCCUACGGGAGGCAGCAGUGGGGAAUUUUGGCAAUGGGCGAAAGCCUGACCAAGCAACGCCGCGUGGGUGAUGAAGUAUCUU
rnacentral:rRNA from 1 species